UACGAAGGGGGCUAGCGUUGCUCGGAAUCACUGGGCGUAAAGCGCACGUAGGCGGCUUUUUAAGUCAGGGGUGAAAUCCUGGAGCUCAACUCCAGAACUGCCUUUGAUACUGGGAAGCUUGAGUCCGGAAGAGGUGAGUGGAACUCCGAGUGUAGAGGUGAAAUUCGUAGAUAUUCGGAAGAACACCAGUGGCGAAGGCGGCUCACUGGUCCGGUACUGACGCUGAGGAGCGAAAGUGUGGGGAGCGAACAGG
rnacentral:rRNA from 1 species